CUAAGGUUUGCCCUAAUCAACGCUAGAGAGUUAGUCUUAAUAAACAAAAGAGAAAUCAUUAGAUGUGUCAUACGUCACAAUAACUGAUAAAUAGAUUUACUAGAUGAACUGCGGAAGAAAAAGGAACAGAAAAAAUACUCGAAAUAUAUACUUCGUUUUAUUUGUAUAUCAAUAGAGUUUUAUGAGAACCAUUUCAGUUCAGACUAAGGUUGAGCUUUCUACGUAACAUAUUAAUCGAUCUCUCUCCGGACUGUCAGCAAAAGAAACCAAAAGAGUGACAUGAUCAUUUCAUUCCUCGGAUCAAGGACUUUUUACUGACGUUGUUUAACAAGUAAUGGCCGUUUUCAAGGAUAUUGUCAUUAUUGGAAAUGGACCUUCCGCUAUCUCAUUGUCCUAUCUACUGGCUGGUAACAUUCCCUACUGUUCGCAAGAGAGUCAUCCAACAGAAGUUUUGUGCCAUCGAUUACAGACGUGUUGCAACGAGCCUUUGGUAGACCAGCUAAAUAAACCUCACGUUGACUGCCUGUUUGUUUGAAGUCAGAGUGACGAAAGAAGAUCAGAUUACAUGACUAACAAGUGGACAUUAUUGAAUAUGCGACAUUAAUGUAAUUUAUAAUGACGUGAUAAUGAUUUAUAAUUAACUUGGUUACUUCCCAGCUUUGAGAUAAGUUACGUCAUCUGCAAGUGUAAAAAAUAUACUUUAACAGUUUUACAUGUGAUUUCUUAUAACAAACAUUAAUUAUAAAUACUUGAAUUUUGUGAAGUUCAUUACUUUGAUGAAAGUGUAGACAUCUAUUUUAAUUUUAAUCAAGUUAUAUUAUGUAGCAUGAUGAUCGUUUGUUGUGGCCUU